rnacentral:misc_RNA from 1 species
AACAAGGCGUACCUGCGGACCUGCGGAAGGAUCAUUACAAGUGACCCCGGUUUACCACCGGGAUGUUCAUAACCCUUUGUUGUCCGACUCUGUUGCCUCCGGGGCGACCCUGCCUUCGGGCGGGGGCUCCGGGUGGACACUUCAAACUCUUGCGUAACUUUGCAGUCUGAGUAAACUUAAUUAAUAAAUUAAAACUUUCAACAACGGAUCU